rnacentral:rRNA from 1 species
GACAGAGGGUGCAAACGUUGUUCGGAAUUACUGGGCGUAAAGCGUGUGUAGGCUGCUACAUAAGUCGGAUGUGAAAGCCCCGGGCUCAACCCGGGAAGUGCACUCGAUACUGCGUAGCUUGUGUCUCGGAGAGGUUGGUGGAAUUCUCGGUGUAGAGGUGAAAUUCGUAGAUAUCGAGAGGAACACCGGUGGCGAAGGCGGCCAACUGGACGAAGACUGACGCUGAGACACGAAAGCGUGGGGAGCAAACAGG